rnacentral:misc_RNA from 1 species
GAAAUGCGAUACGUAGUGUGAAUUGCAGAAUUCAGUGAAUCAUCGAAUCUUUGAACGCACAUUGCGCCCUCUGGCAUUCCGGGGGGCAUGCCUGUCCGAGCGUCAUUACGCACCCUCAAGCCCGGCUUGUGUGAUGGGCCCUGGCGUCUCGUUCGCGAGACGGGCCCGAAAGGCAGCGGCGGCGUCGACCCGAUGAGCCCGAGCGUAUGGGGACUUUUGUCACACGUUUGCGGUGCGGACCGGCGCCUGCUUGACUUUUCUGAUUAUCCAGGUUGACCUCGGAUCAGGUAGGGAUACCUGCUGAACUUAAGC